rnacentral:rRNA from 1 species
AGAGUUUGAUCCUGGCUCAGAAUAAACGCUGGCGGCGUGCCUAACACAUGCAAGUCGAACGAGAAAGCCAUGACUUCGGUUGGGCGAGUAAAGUGGCGCACGGGUGAGUAACGCGUAGGCAACCUACCCUUGAAUUUGGGAUAACAGUGCGAAAGUGCUGCUAAUACCGGAUACGACCCUUUUGUGCUGGGCGAAAGGGUGAAAGUCGGCCACUGGAACAAGCCGACGUUCGGGGAUGGGCCUGCGUCCUAUCAGCUGGUUGGUAGGGUAACGGCCUACCAAGGCGACGACGGGUAGCUGGUCUGAGAGGAUGAUCAGCCACACUGGCACUGGAACACGGGCCAGACUCCUACGGGAGGCAGCAGUGAGGAAUUUUGCGCAAUGGCCGCAAGGCUGACGCAGCAACGCCGCGUGGGUGAAGAAGGCCUUCGGGUCGUAAAGCCCUGUCAGGUGGGAAGAACGACACGGGGAGGAAUAUGCUCUGUGAGUGACGGUACCACCAGAGGAAGCACCGGCUAACUCCGUGCCAGCAGCCGCGGUAAUACGGAGGGUGCGAGCGUUAUUCGGAAUUACUGGGCGUAAAGCGCGUGUAGGCGGCCAACCAAGUCUGAUGUGAAAGCCCUGGGCUUAACCUGGGAAGUGCAUUGGAAACUGGCUGGCUUGAGUACUGGAGAGGAAGGGGGAAUUCCCGGUGUAGAGGUGAAAUUCGUAGAGAUCGGGAGGAAUACCAGAGGCGAAAGCGGCCUCCUGGCCCACAACUGACGCUCAGACGCGAAAGCUAGGGUAGCAAACGGGAUUAGAGACCCCGGUAGUCCUAGCCGUAAACGAUGU